UACAGAGGUGGCAAGCGUUGUUCGGAAUUACUGGGCGUAAAGGGCGCGUAGGCGGCCAUCUAAGUCAGACGUGAAAUCCCUCAGCUUAACUGGGGAACUGCGUGUGAUACUGGAUGGCUUGGAUUUGGGAGAGGGAUGCGGAAUUCCAGGUGUAGCGGUGAAAUGCGUAGAUAUCUGGAGGAACACCGGUGGCGAAGGCGGCAUCCUGGACCAAUAUUGACGCUGAGGAGCGAAAGCCAGGGGAGCAAACGGGG
rnacentral:rRNA from 1 species